ACGUACGCUGGCGGCACGCCUAACACAUGCAAGUCGAACGAAGUAGCAAUACUUAGUGGCAGACGGGUGAGUAACAUGUGGGUAUCUACCCUUUGGCCUGGAAUAACACGAGGAAACUUGUGCUAAUACCGGAUAAGCCUUCACAGGGAAAGUUUUAAUGCCAAAAGAUGAGCCCGCACUUGAUUAGCUAGUUGGUAAGGUAAUGGCUUACCAAGGCAACGAUCAAUAGCUGUUCUUAGAGGAAGACCAGCCACAUUGGGACUGAGACACGGCCCAAACUCCUACGGGAGGCAGCAGUGGGGAAUCUUGC
rnacentral:rRNA from 1 species